UACAUGGGGUGCAAACGUUGCUCGGAAUUAUUGGGCGUAAAGCGCACGUAGGCGGUUCGUUAAGUCGGAUGUGAAAGCCCUCGGCUCAACUGAGGAAGUGCACCCGAAACUGGCGAGCUUGAGUACGAAAGAGGAUCGCGGAAUUCCCGGUGUAGAGGUGAAAUUCGUAGAUAUCGGGAGGAACACCGGUGGCGAAGGCGACUCUUUGGCCUGUAACUGACACUGAGGCGCGAAGGCUAGGGGAGCAAACAGG
rnacentral:rRNA from 1 species